rnacentral:pre_miRNA from 1 species
UGGUGAUGAUAAUGAUGAUGAUGGUGAUGAUAAUGAUGAUGAUGAUGCUCCCGUUGAUCUGUCAUCAUCAUCAUCAUCAUCAUCAUCAGAUCUA